GACGAACGCUGGCGGCGUGCCUAAUACAUGCAAGUUGAGCGCUGAAGGUUGGUACUUGUACCAACUGGAUGAGCAGCGAACGGGUGAGUAACGCGUGGGGAAUCUGCCUUUGAGCGGGGGACAACAUUUGGAAACGAAUGCUAAUACCGCAUAAAAACUUUAAACACAAGUUUUAAGUUUGAAAGAUGCAAUUGCAUCACUCAAAGAUGAUCCCGGGUUGUAUUAGCUAGUUGUUGAGGUAAAGGCUCACCAAGGCGAUGAUACAUAGGCGACCUGAGGGGGUGAUCGGCCACAUUGGGACUGAGACACGGCCCAAACUCCUACGGGAGGCAGCAGUAGGGAAUCUUCGGCAAUGGACGAAAGUCUGACCGAGCAACGCCGCGUGAGUGAAGAAGGUUUUCGGAUCGUAAAACUCUGUUGGUAGAGAAGAACGUUGGUGAGAGUGGAAAGCUCAUCAAGUGACGGUAACUACCCAGAAAGGGACGGCUAACUACGUGCCAGCAGCCGCCGUAA
rnacentral:rRNA from 1 species